UACGGGGGGAGCAAGCGUUGUUCGGAUUUACUGGGCGUAAAGGGCGCGUAGGCGGCCUGUGCAAGUCAGUUGUGAAAUCUCCGAGCUUAACUCGGAACGGUCAACUGAUACUGCUCGGCUAGAGUGCGGAAGGGGCAACUGGAAUUCUUGGUGUAGCGGUGAAAUGCGUAGAUAUCAAGAGGAACACCGGUGGCGAAGGCGGGUCUCUGGGCAGUAACUGACGCUGAGGAGCGAAAGCGUGGGGAGCGAACAGG
rnacentral:rRNA from 1 species